UUAUUUUGACCCGUUCCUUCCCUUAUCUGGUCAUUUCCCUCGUAUCCGGGCAUUCUCUGUUUCUAUAAACUGGAAGACACAUUCCCCCUCGCCCCCUCAACACAUAUUAUCUGUCAUUGGUCUCUACUCUCAAGAAACCUCAACACAUCAUGUUAAAACAACCCGAGUGCCUCCUACUACAUCGUUGUUCGCUGCUCCACCUCAACAUCUUCGAGUUUCAAGCUAUAUAUUUGGAAGAAGACCACCAGACCCUCCACCUUUGUUGAUCAUCGCUACCAUAAAAACUCCCCAAAUACACAUGUUUCAAGAAAUCCAAGAUUCAAUGGGUAAUGUGUAAUCACUCGAGAGGAAUUAUGGGGUAGGUUUGGUUUUUUUUGCCAUUAGUUGUGUCUUCUUCAAACUGCCCCUGCUACCAACAAGAGUGGUAGCUGGAAUUGGGGAUAAAUCUAGAGAGGAUGAAGAAAAGAUGUAUGAAGCGGAUUCACCAUACAAAGUUUGGAGUUGGAUCGGAGAAUGCAAGAGCUAGAGACUCAUAAAAGCUUACUCAAAAGUGAACACCAGUCCUUUAUUGCAAGGUAUAAUAUGCUCUAGGUUGGCAUUAUGGUUUAUAACAACUUUUUUGAUAUGAUAACUUUACUUUUUCUUAGUAGGCGAGAAGCAUGGGAAGUUACAUUCAGGUUUUAUGUGGUUUGAUUGUCUCUUUUAAAUGCUCUGAUCUGUUUGGCUUAAUAAAAUGUAGGUGGGUUUUGAUUUGUUGGAUUCAAAAAAAACAUAUUGAAUGUUUGAUGCUGAUAUGGUUUAAUCAUGCAUUCAUUCUCUUUGUCUCUUACUAGAUUUAGAAAUCGACAGCCACCAACAACCACCAUUAUUUUUUGUUGUUUCUAAUAUACCUUGACACCUAAGUACACAUACAUUUUGAUUUUUGGAAGCUGGAUCUGGUGUAAAACAAAGAAGACCAUCCACUAGAUGACAUGGCAACUUAACACUGCCACCAUAACCUCACACAACUCACUGUCAUCACCAUGACAAGGUAACAUAUUUAUUGUUUAUGUCUUUGUUAUUGUCUAAUGUUUGCCUUUUUUUACUCUUACAUAGCUUUUAUCAAAUCAUAUAUGGAACAUGAGCCAGCUGAUCAAGAUGCUAAUGAAUGGAGGGUUUGGGAAAUUGGAAAGGAAAUUGCAAAUCGAAUGGUUAACUAAUUUUUGGUGAAAUUGAAAGCAAAUGUGAAGGAGUUUGCGUUAAUAGAUAUAACAAGAAGCAAGAUGUAUAAUCGAUUUUUAUUGGCUGAUGAAACCUUAUCCAAAAGGUUUACAUAUUUUUUGGGAUGCAGAGUAAAGGAUUGCUGGUUGGAGUCUAUCACCGGUAAUGGAAAUUGAAAGUGAUGGAAAGAGAACAAAUUGGUUUUUAAUUUUAAUUCAGAAAAGUCGUUGAACUAGAGUCUAUAUAGGAGAUAAAACAAUGUUUAAGGAUGUUUUGAGUUUAUGCAAUAGGCCCUUAUAAAAUGGCAUGAUCCUUGGUUUUCAUUUACCUGAGUCUUUAUAUAUGACAAUUUAAAAAAUGAGAUCAAGUAAUAUAAGGUUUUGACUUUC